CGGCCAAUCAAGUUGUAACAUCAGUUCCCGUACUAUCACCGAAUUUAAGCAACGUCGAGCUGGGUCAGUACCAAGAUGAGUAACUGCUUGGCAAUACCAGGUGUUGUAAG